AUUCUGGUUGAUCCUGCCAGAGGUCACUGCUAUUGGGAUUCGACUAAGCCAUGCGAGUCGAGAGGGUUCGGCCCUCGGCGAACUGCUCAGUAACACGUGGAUAAUUUGCCCUUAGGUGGAGGAUAACCUCGGGAAACUGAGAAUAAUACUCCAUAGAUCUAGGAUGCUGGAAUGCAUUUAGAUUAAAAGCUCCGGCGCCUAAGGAUAAGUCUGCGGACUAUCAGGUUGUAGUCAGGGUAAAGACCUGACUAGCCUACAACGGAUACGGGUUGUGAGAGCAAUAACCCGGAGACGAUAUCUGAGACACGAUAUCGGGCCCUACGGGGCGCAGCAGGCGCGAAACCUUCGCACUGUGCGAAAGCGCGAUGAGGGAAUCCCAAGUGCUUGCUCGUAAGAGUAAGCUGUUUUUAUGUCUAAAAAGCAUAGAGAGUAAGGGCUGGGUAAGACCGGUGCCAGCCGCCGCGGUAAUACCUGCAGCUCAAGUGGUGAUCAUUAUUAUUGGGCCUAAAACGUCCGUAGCCGGUUUGGUAAAUGCCUGGGUAAAUCGUGUAGCUUAACUAUACGAAUUCCGGGUAGACUGCCCAACUUGGGACCGGGAGAGGCUAGAGGUACUCCUGGGGUAGAGGUGAAAUCCUGUAAUCUAGGGGGGACCACCAGUUGCCAAGGCCUCUAGCUAGAACGGGUCUGAC
rnacentral:rRNA from 1 species